CAGCCGCCACGGGAAUACAGAGGGUGCGAGCGUUAAUAGGAUUUACUGGGCGUAAAGCGUGCGUAGGCGGCUUCUUAAGUCGGAUGUGAAAUCCCUGAGCUUAACUUAGGAAUUGCAUUCGAUACUGGGAAGCUAGAGUAUGGGAGAGGAUGGUAGAAUUCCAGGUGUAGCGGUGAAAUGCGUAGAGAUCUGGAGGAAUACCGAUGGCGAAGGCAGCCAUCUGGCCUAAUACUGACGCUGAGGUACGAAAGCAUGGGGAGCAAACAGGAUUAGAUACCCCCGUAGUCCCUGUCUCUUAUAC
rnacentral:rRNA from 1 species